CACCUACGUGCAUUGAACUUUGUACCGAAAGAUAAAAAGGCUAUUCCUGUUACGUCGACUAUCUUAUUAGCCUCCGAGCAAUUGAUUCACGCGAAAGAGUUUGAUUGGAUAAAUUCUAUGGCGAAGCUCGACAAAUAAUUCUUCCGAGUAUCAGAAUCGUAAACUGACGGAAGAAAAACUGGUUAAUAGCAACAAGUUAGCAUUUCCUUCGUUUUUAAAAAAGUAUGUGUAAUAUUAGCGACAAUAGCAGGAUUGUCACCACCAGACGAUAUAACGAGUCAACGAUAAUUCAUACAUAAGCAAUCGUUGUUCAAAUGUAUCAUCUUGAAUCUAAAAUGAUAUUUACCAGAGAAAGAGUCAAAGAGUUGGACGUUGGAUCGAUAAAAUGGCAGGGAACGCGAGUAGCUGAUAUCGAUCAAGUUUAUCACUGACUGACCCACGAUGACGGCGCAGUUGGUAGCCUUGAUUAGUGCGCUGCCCGCUGCAACUCAGGCAACGGCGAGCUCCUUGCCAAACAACCAGCAUCACUAGACAAUCAAACCAACGACCCUCAAGUUCUUUAUCUAAACUUUCCAAUCAACUUUACGUUAUAUACAUACAUAAUCGAUUUCAUGUAAAAAGAUAAACUUGAAAUCGAAAGAUCGUGUUGCGAAAGUACGUAUAUAGUGAUUCUCCCGAUUUCUAUUCAUUCUAUUCAUUCAAAAUAUUUCAUUAUCAAUAUAAUUACGAUUUAAGAAACUUUUUAUAUCGGUGUUUAGCUUCUCUUCGUAAUUUAUUUGUUCGACAUAUGUUUUGACUAGCGAUGUUACAACAUUACCAGAUAAGUGUUAUGCAUCAUAAAUUGUAAUUAUGAUACAAGAUUUCAAACUAACGUUCGACCUUCCACUGAUAAGUAUUACGUGAUUCGCGUGAUUUUGUAACCUACUAAAUACGCAACGAAAUCGAUUAACCGCCGUAAAACGAUGUUUCAUUGAUUUUUCUCAAAUUCGCACAUGUUUUUUUUUUUAAUUUACAGCUUUAAUUGAGAAACACGCUGCUGUAAUCUCUUUUGAUUUGUUAAACGCUUUUUUUUCUACCCUGCCACAGAGAUAUUUUAACGCAAUAACUUUGUCUAACUCUUACCGAUAAAAGAUUUGCGAAAUUUUGUACAUGUAUUUAUAUACAUACAACGCAUAACGUUCGUUACUAAUUGUAAGUUACGAAUAAUCGGGAAGGAAUUACACUAGCAAUUUUUAUUCGAAUGUACCUACAAACGGCAAAGGAGUUUACCUACGUAAACUACUGUUUUACUGAACUACUCUUUGUGCUAGAUAAUAAUAAUUCUUUACUAACUAAUAAGUAAUAAACUGAUUUCAUAAAUAUCGGUACAUAAUCUAUAUACAUACACGUUAUUCGGUAUACUUAUUUUUUAUAUACAAAGUAUCGUCUGAAUCUUUCAAUUCUCAUCUAAUAAUAUUUUCAAACGUUAUAUAGCUGAAGUUCAAUUUGAAUGUGUCAGCGAAAAAAAAAGACAAGCCUCGUGACCGAUCUAUUUUAAGUUAAAAGCAGUACAUACAUAAAAAGUAUUACUGCAGAGGCGGAAGUACAUACGUAUGCGAACAUUUGUUAGCGAUAGAUUCCACUUUUUAAAGACUCGAUUUCAUCAACGACAUUCAAAUGGCGCAAAGCGUUGCAUACUUUUAAAUAUAUGUAUAACUUUUAUAUUAUAAAACAUUUAAUUUUAUUGAACGAAGGAUAGAUUGAUUGUUACGGAAACGCGUUGAGUUUCGAGUCUAGAACAUGUGCGGGGGCAGAGUACAAGUAGGCAUGUUAGGUUAUUUUUUUAUAGCAGGUAAUGGAGUAACAUACACAUCCCAACACGAUAAAUAUUAUUUUAUGUAAAGAUUAAAUUAAAAAACGCAUGCAAUUUGCUUACCUUGUAAACGUCAAGUACACGCGAUGGCGUCUUGAAUAUUCCACGCGGUCGAAAAGAAACGAUCGAAAUUUCAGUCGGUAUUAUCGCACAUUACAAUUUUCCUUUUCGUAUUGAUUCACUAUUUCACGAUCUGUUCACGAAUCGACAACUACAAGUUUUAUAUUUUAUUGUAUGUAACAUACGAAUAACACUAUGAAUUCUAACGAAAAAUUUGUUAAAAAAACUAGAACUUGUCACUAAAGCGAACACAGAUGUUUCCGAUACAAUCGAAAUAUAUAUUUGUACACGAUAUCAAUAAACGAUACAAAAAGGGACGGUUGUAAGACGUUCUCGCGAAAACACGUCAGGUUAAUGACGAGUUUGACAAAACGAUCAGCACCAGACGAGGUAUCAUUGAGCACUGCUGAUCACUGGCAAUCGCGCGCAUGCGCUCGAACACUUUUAAAUUUUCCGCUUAUUGUUAGCGGGAAUUACGAAAUAUUCAUCGAAUUAUUAGUUGAACGCUUAUUUAAAAAUAUAAAGGUUACAUGAAAAAUGUAACUACAUCACUUUGAAUUUUGUAUUAAGGAUGUCACUACUGUCGAUAAAAAUCGAAUUUAUUAAAAAAAAGUUAACAAUAUCAAUACGCUGCUUUUAACGUAUUAUCUUUUGCAUUUCAUCGAUGUAUAUUACUUCCGUUGUAACAUUUUACAAUUAACAAGUAUAUCAAUUGAUCACUGAUAUAAUUUGCUGGUUGUAUUAUUGACAAAUUUUUAUGAGACAGAAAGUUAAUGCUUUAAUAUGUGUGUCUAUAUGUAUGUAUGUAUGUACAAUGUAAGGUCACAAUAUAAGACAUCAUAUAUACAAACUGUCGUAUUACUUACUGAUCUAUCUGGCUAAUUAGAAUUAUAAAAAAAAGUACAUUAAAAA